CUUCUCACUACAUUCUCGCGACUAAUGACAAUCCUUAUAUGCCUGACAAGGUGGCAAUAAAGUCUCUCAUUAGCCGCGCGAAAACAUCUGUAACGGAAGUUCAUGUUCUUAGAAUAACAGUAGAAACAGCAGCCAUACAGUACCCUGAUUUGGCUGCGCUUCCUAGAAUAAAGGGGCCUAUUGGCCCCUUUAC
rfam:Rahnella aquatilis CIP 78.65 = ATCC 33071, complete genome.